GACGAACGCUGGCGGCGUGCCUAAUACAUGCAAGUCGAGCGAAUCAAUAGGAGCUUGCUCCUGUUGAUUAGCGGCGGACGGGUGAGUAACACGUGGGCAACCUGCCUGUAAGAUCGGGAUAACUUCGGGAAACCGGAGCUAAUACCGGAUAAUCCUUUUCCACAUAUGUGGGCAAGCUGAAAGACGGUUUCGGCUGUCACUUACAGAUGGGCCCGGGGGGCAUUAGCUAGUUGGGGAGGUAACGGCUCACCAAGGCGACGAUGCGUAGCCGACCGGAGAGGGUGAUCGGCCACACUGGGACUGAGACACGGCCCAGACUCCUACGGGAGGCAGCAGUAGGGAAUCUUCCGCAAUGGACGAAAGUCUGACGGAGCAACGCCGCGUGAGCGAUGAAGGCCUUCGGGUCGUAAAGCUCUGUUGUUAGGGAAGAACAAGUAUCGGAGUAACUGCCGGUACCUUGACGGUACCUAACCAGAAAGCCACGGCUAACUACGUGCCAGCAGCCGCGGUAA
rnacentral:rRNA from 1 species